rnacentral:rRNA from 1 species
UACGAAGGGGGCUAGCGUUGCUCGGAAUUACUGGGCGUAAAGCGCACGUAGGCGGCUCUUUAAGUCGGGGGUGAAAUCCUGGAGCUCAACUCCAGAACUGCCUUUGAUACUGAAGAUCUUGAGUUCGGGAGAGGUGAGUGGAACUGCGAGUGUAGAGGUGAAAUUCGUAGAUAUUCGCAAGAACACCAGUGGCGAAGGCAGCUCACUGGCCCGAUACUGACGCUGAGGCACGAAAGCGUGGGGAGCAAACAGG